ACCGAGACUGUAAUUUCGGUGCUAGCCUGAAUGGGUUCAUUUCUUUUUAUUAACUCCAGCACCCGGGUUUUAGGCAAGUUGGCUAUUGUUCGAGCCACGCUCCUCUCCUCUCCACUCCCCACGCUUUGAAGCAGCAGGAACAGCCGGAAGGAGAUGGCAUUGAACAGCAGAAGUGGCUGCUGUGAGACCAGAUCACCCCGCAGAAGGAUGGAGACUGGAGCUGCCUGGGGGGGACGGAGGCGGAGGCUCUCCGCCUGGAACCCAGCACUGCUCAGGGACGGGCACCGGUGCCCUCCUGGGCUCACCUGCCUGCUGGUGUCCUACAAUUAGAAAGGGACCUGGCCAGCCUCCCAGAUCCUCCUGCGUAUGCCAGAGUUUGCUGAGAGCUGGACCAGGCUCCCGAGACACCGGCUGCUGGCUGGAGCUGCUCUAGAGUGAACUUGUCCCUGAGAAUCCGUAGACCCGAGCACCCUGCCAGGAGAAGGAGGGCAUGACGUCAUCACCCAGGGAAGGAGCGUGGCCUCUCUGGGCAUGGGUUUCCUCAUCCGCAUCUCGAUCUCCCACAAGGACAGGGACCAUAUUGCUCUUUUCCUACCUCCCUCCCUGGCAUGUAGCAGACCUUCAGGGUUUUUUUGUCUGUUGUUUGUUUGUUUACUGCUGAGGAUUCAAAGCAUUUUUAAAGGAAUGAAUAAAUGAAAGACAAAAGAGA